rnacentral:rRNA from 1 species
CGGAGAGAACACAGGGAUUGCCUCAGUAACGGCGAGUGAAGCGGCAACAGCUCAAAUUUUAAAGCUGGCGUCUUCGACGCCCGCGUUGUAAUUUGGAGAGGCAUCUUCGGUUUGGGCGCCAGCCUAUGUUCCUUGGAACAGGACGUCACAGAGGGUGAGAAUCCCGUGCUUGGCUGGCUGUCCCUUGCCAUGUGAAGUGCCUUCGACGAGUCGAGUUGUUUGGGAAUGCAGCUCAAAAUGGGUGGUAAAUUCCAUCUAAAGCUAAAUAUUGGCGGGAGACCGAUAGCGCACAAGUAGAGUGAUCGAAAGAUGAAAAGCACUUUGAAAAUAGAGUUAAAAAGUACGUGAAAUUGUUGAAAGGGAAGCGCUUGAGACCAGACUCGGCCGGAGAUGAUCAGCCGUCCUUCUGGGCGGUGCACUUGUCUCCGGUCGGGCCAGCAUCGGUUGAGACGGCGGGAUAAAGGCCCGGGGAAUGUGGCUCCUUUCGGGGAGUGUUAUAGCCCCGGACGCAAUGCCGCCAGCCUCGACCGAGGACCGCGCUUUUUGCUAGGAUGCUGGCGUAAUGGUCUUCAGCGACCCGUCUUGAAACACGGACCAAGGAGUCUAACAUCUAUGCGAGUGUUUGGGUGUCAAACCCUUGCGCGUAAUGAAAGUGAACGGAGGUGGGAACCCCCUCGCGGGGCGCACCAUCGACCGGUCCUGAUGUCUUCGGAUGGAUCUGAGUAGGAGCAUAGCUGUUGGGACCCGAAAGAUGGUGAACUAUGCCUGAAUAGGGUGAAGCCAGAGGAAACUCUGGUGGAGGCUCGCAGCGGUUCUGACGUGCAAAUCGAUCGUCAAAUUUGGGUAUAGGGGCGAAAGACUAAUCGAACCAUCUAGUAGCUGGUCCUGCAAAAUUUUUCUCCCCGCGAGAAAAAGAAG